rnacentral:rRNA from 1 species
CCUACGGGAGGCAGCAGUGAGGAAUAUUGCGCAAUGGAGGCAACUCUGACGCAGCCAUGCCGCGUGCAGGAAGACGGCCCUACGGGUUGUAAACUGCUUUUAUCCGGGAAGAAACCCCAGGACGUGUCCUGGGUUGACGGUACCGGAGGAAUAAGCACCGGCUAACUCCGUGCC